rnacentral:rRNA from 1 species
AAGGUAGCUUGCUACUGGACCUAGCGGCGGAUGGGUGAGUAAUACUUAGGAAUCUGCCUAUUAGUGGGGGACAACGUUCCAAAAGGAGCGCUAAUACCGCAUACGCCCUACGGGGGAAAGCAGGGGAUCUUCGGACCUUGCGCUAAUAGAUGAGCCUAAGUCGGAUUACCUAGUUGGGGGGGUAAAGGCCUACCAAGGCGACGAUCUGUACCGGGUUUGAGAGGAUGAUCCGCCACACUGGGACUGAAACACGGCCCAUACUCCUACGGGAGGCAGCAGUGGGGAAUAUUGGACAAUGGGCGCAAGCCUGAUCCCUCCAUGCCGCGUGUGUGAAGAAGGCCUUAUGGUUGUAAAGCACUUUAAGCGAGGAGGAGGCUUACCUAGCUAAUACCUAGGAUAAGUGGACGUUACUCGGGGGAAGGGGGCACCGGCUAACUCUGUGCCAACAGCCGCGGUAAUACACAGGGUGCAAGCGUUAAUCGCAAUUACUGGGCGUAAAGCGCGCGUAGGUGGCCAUUUAA